UACGUAGGUGGCAAGCGUUGUCCGGAUUUAUUGGGUUUAAAGGGUGCGUAGGCGGUCUAUUAAGUCAGUGCUGAAAUAUCCCGGCUUAACCGGGAGGGUGGCAUUGAUACUGAUGGACUUGAGUGCAGUCGAGGUAGGCGGAAUUGACGGCGUAGCGGUGAAAUGCUUAGAUAUCGUCAAGAACACCGAUAGUGAAGACAGCUUACUAGGCUGUAACUGACGCUGAGGCACGAAAGUGUGGGGAGCAAACAGG
rnacentral:rRNA from 1 species